UUACGGGGUGCUGCAGUGGGGAAUAUUGCACAAUGGAGGAAACUCUGAUGCAGCAACGCCGCGUGGAGGAUGACACUUUUCGGAGCGUAAACUCCUUUUAUAUAGGAAGAAGAUGACGGUACUAUAUGAAUAAGCGCCGGCUAACUCCGUGCCAGCAGCCGCGGUAAUACGGAGGGCGCAAGCGUUACUCGGAAUCACUGGGCGUAAAGAGCGUGUAGGCGGAUUAAAAAGUCAGAAGUGAAAUCCUAUAGCUUAACUAUAGAACUGCUUCUGAAACUCUUAAUCUAGAAUAUGGGAGAGGUAGAUGGAAUUUCUGGUGUAGGGGUAAAAUCCGUAGAGAUCAGAAGGAAUACCGAUUGCGAAGGCGAUCUACUAGAACAUUAUUGACGCUGAGACGCGAAAGCGUGGGGAGCAAACAGGAUUAGUUACCCGUGUAGUC
rnacentral:rRNA from 1 species